rnacentral:rRNA from 1 species
UGGGAUGACGUCAAAUCAUCAUGCCCCUUAUGACCUGGGCUACACACGUGCUACAAUGGUUGGUACAACGAGUUGCGAGUCGGUGACGGCGAGCUAAUCUCUUAAAGCCAAUCUCAGUUCGGAUUGUAGGCUGCAACUCGCCUACAUGAAGUCGGAAUCGCUAGUAAUCGCGGAUCAGCACGCCGCGGUCGAAUACGUUCCCGGGCCUU